rnacentral:rRNA from 1 species
CCUACGGGGGGCAGCAGUGGGGAAUAUUGGACAAUGGGCGAAAGCCUGAUCCAGCCAUGCCGCGUGUGUGAAGAAGGCCUUCGGGUUGUAAAGCACUUUCAGUGGGGAAGAAAGCCUUGGGGCUAAUACCCUCGAGGAAGGACAUCACCCACAGAAGAAGCACCGGCUAACUCCGUGCCAGCAGCCGCGGUAAUACGGAGGGUGCGAGCGUUAAUCGGAAUUACUGGGCGUAAGGCGCGCGUAGGCGGUCUGAUAAGCCGGUUGUGAAAGCCCCGGGCUCAACCUGGGAACGGCAUCCGGAACUGUCAGGCUAGAGUGCAGGAGAGGAAGGUAGAAUUCCCGGUGUAGCGGUGAAAUGCGUAGAGAUCGGGAGGAAUACCAGUGGCGAAGGCGGCCUUCUGGACUGACACUGACGCUGAGGUGCGAAAGCGUGGGUAGCAAACAGGAUUAGAUACCUUGUAGUC